GUGAUGGGGUUAAUGCUGAUUGAGUCUCGUUCAAAGAAUUGAUUGGUGAUGGUUCAAAUGAUGGUUCAAAAUGAUUCCAUUCUAAGGAAACAAGUCUUAUUGUAAGAGCACAUUGUAACAAAGUAGUACAGUAAGUAAUUAAGACUGCAAAGGAGGGCAGUGAGUAUGGAAACUGAGCAUUGUUUGCACCCAGUCCUGUGUGACUGGGAAACUGAAUGUUUACAGGUCAGUGGAUCACAACCAAUGACAGAGAUUAUGUCUAAAGAUUGAUAUGAAAGGUAGCCGCAUUCUAAUCAACUAGUUAUUUCUAUGUUUUUUUGACUGCAUGCAGCCAUUUGGCAAGGUCCAUGAGACAUUUCAGUCCGAAUCAUCAGAGGAUGAGGGGAUAUAUAUUCCUAUACAUUCCAAAUAAUGUCAUAAUAAAGAAAUGGAGGGAAGAAUGAAGAAAUGAAACUGCCAAGUCCUUCUCUGAAAGGGAGGCAAUACCUGGGUGAUGUCAGCCCUUUUCCCACCACUCUCACCCCACCAUCCAGAGGUCUUCCCAGAGAAUUCUUGGCCAUAACGCAGAGGUGCAGGUCAGACCACUCGAGGAAACUCUUCUUAGGUUGACUUUCUGAAUUUUUUCAUCUUAAUUUUUAUUUGUAAAGGUUCAACCCAAGCUAAAGUGCCACCACAGAACUUGCUAGGCAGAGGCCUCCGGGAGCCAAAGAUACCACUCUCCGCCUUGCCCGAAGCAAAUUAAAACUAAUCUUUUUCAUUAAAA